CUUUCCAUUUGGGAGCUUUUCCAGAGGUCAAAAUCUCUCAAUUUACAACCAAAACGCCAGGGCGGCAGCGAGAGUGUACGGCCCGGUCGCAGUACGCCCCUGGCCACCCCGCGGCACGGUUACCCCCACGCACGAGUCAUGGGCGCACCCCGUUGUAGCCACUGGAGAUGCCACACGGCCUUUUAGGAAGGCGGGCCAUCAACCGGUGUUCAGGAUAGAAACGUGGCCACCUCCCCGCGGGCGGGUGCUGAUCUGCGGUGGAGACUGCGCCCCCACGCAGAGAACGACCGAAAUCCCCUCGGGCCGCUGGGUCUUGCUUGCAUGGCUGGACGCCGCCUGUCCAAGGCUUUAGCGACCGUGUCUCCCUUCAUGACCUUGGCCUCUGUGACAGGCAGGCCCGGCAGCUGCCCCAACAUCCCGGCCAGCUGGAGCCUGCUUUCCUCACGUGGGUUUUCUCUAAACUUCAUCAUGUCAGGUUCAAAGCGCACUGCUGAGAAGCCCCACGAGAAGGCCCGGACAUCUCCGUGGUGGAGCGAAGCCUGGUUCCCCAUGAGAAAGUGAGCUGGCUGGCCGAGUGGCGAGAGUAACGCGCGUGGAGUACACUGCCAGCUCUGUCUUGCCUGGGCCCGUGUAGGCACACCCUCAAGAGGGUGAAAGGAACUUCUCUCCUAAGUUUAACGAAAAGGAUGGGCAUGUGGAGAGAAGGAGCCAGCAUGGCUUGUAUGAGAUUGAGAAGGGUAGACUUAGAAAUCCUGCACCUCGGACAGGACUGGUCGGCCAAGAGCCUUUGGGGUGUUGGGGCCCCAAUCAUGCUGUAGAUCCCAUCUUAACCCGAUGGAAAAGGGAUGGCAGGGGAAACGAAAUUACCCACCCUAUUUCUGGGAAAAAUAUCCUGCAAUUUGUAGCCAUCAAAAGGAAGGACUGUGGAGAAUAGGCAAUCCCAGGGGGGAUGGUGGAUCCAGGAGAGAAAAUUAGUGCUACACUGAAGAGAGAAUUUGGUGAGGAAGCCAUGUACUCUUUACAGAAAUCUAGGAAAGAAAUGCAGGAAUUGGAGAGACAAUUGCACAAACUCCUCAGCCAGGAACAUUUUGUGGUCUAUAAAGGCUACGUGGAUGAUUCUCGGAACACAGAUAAUUCCUGGAUAGAGACAGAGGCUGUGAACUACCAUGAUGAAACUGGUGAAAUAAUGGACCAUCUUCCUCUGGAAGCUGGCGAUGAUGCCAAGAAAGUGAAAUGCGUGGACAUUAAUGAUAAACUUGAGCUUUAUGCCAGCCACUCCCAAUUUCUUCAACUUGUGGCUGAGAAACGAGGUGCCCACUGGAGUGAGGAUAUGUAUCCUGAUUUAGCUUGGAGUCUCAUGUGAGCCAAAGGCCUUCAAAUAAUCAAGAGUGGAUAAGAGGCAAACAGCACAUAACUCCCACUAAAUAGGACAGGGAGGGUCACCUCUUUGGUGAUUACUUCCAAAACUGUGCUGUAUGAAGGCUUUGUAUUAGGGAAUAAUAUUAGACAAAUAUGGGAAAUGGGAUCACAGAAUUUUUGGCUUUCCUGUUAGAAGAAGAAUAACUCAAAUGCUGUAUAUAUUGUAUACAUGGUUUAAACUAACUUACACAGCUACUGCUCUUUGGAGAAUUGUAAGAAAAAAAAUGACAUCUUCCUUAACAACCAUAGCCUCUACUUUUCAGCCAGUUUGCAUUUGUCAAUUCUUCUUCCUCCUGAUGUUUUAAUGUGGCAUAAUCUAAUGUAUAAUCUGACUUCUGAGUUAACAUUUAUUUUUUAAAUUUA